rnacentral:rRNA from 1 species
GACGUAGGGCGCGAGCGUUGUUCGGAUUUACUGGGCGUAAAGGGCGCGUAGGCGGCGUGACAAGUCACUUGUGAAAUCUCCGGGCUUAACUCGGAACGGUCAAGUGAUACUGUCGUGCUAGAGUACAGAAGGGGCAACUGGAAUUCUCGGUGUAGCGGUGAAAUGCGUAGAUAUCGAGAGGAACACCUGCGGCGAAGGCGGGUUGCUGGGCUGAUACUGACGCUGAGGCGCGAAAGCUAGGGGAGCGAACGGG